CCGUGCAAAGGUAGCGCAAUCACUUGUCUCUUAAAUAGAGACCUGUAUGAAUGGCUAGACGAGGGCUUAACUGUCUCCCUCCUCCGGUCAGUGAAAUUGAUCUAUCCGUGCAGAAGCGGGUAUAAAUACACAAGACGAGAAGACCCUUUGGAGCUUAAGGUACAAACUUAACCACGUUAAACGACUUCACAAAGAGCAAGAACUUAGUGGCGAUGAGACUUUACCUUCGGUUGGGGCGACCAUGGAGGAGAAACAAGCCUCCAAGUGGGCCGGGCCAAACCCCCUCCCCUAAAGCCGAGAGAUACAUCUCUAGGCCGCAGAACAUCUGACCAAAAAUGAUCCGACUAUAAAGUCGACCAACGGACCAAGUUACCCAAGGGAUAACAGCGCAAUCCCCUCCCAGAGUCCAUAUCUACGAGGGGGUUUACGACCUCGAUGUUGGAUCAGGACAUCCUAAUGGUGCAGCCGCUAUUAAGGGUUCGUUUGUUCAACGAUUAAAGUCCUACGUGAUCUGAGUUCAGACCGG
rnacentral:rRNA from 1 species